GACGAACGCUGGCGGCGUGCUUAACACAUGCAAGUCGAGCGGUAAGGCCCUUUCGGGGGUACACGAGCGGCGAACGGGUGAGUAACACGUGGGUGACCUGCCCUUAGCUCUGGGAUAAGCCUGGGAAACUGGGUCUAAUACCGGAUAUGACCCUAUGGCGCAUGUUGUGGGGUGGAAAGCCUUGUGCGGCUAGGGAUGGGCCCGCGGCCUAUCCAGCUUGUUGGUGGGGUGAUGGCCUACCAAGGCGACGACGGGUAGCCGGCCUGAGAGGGCGACCGGCCACACUGGGACUGAGACACGGCCCAGACUCCUACGGGAGGCAGCAGUGGGGAAUCUUGUGCAAUGGGCGAAAGCCUGACGCAGCGACGCCGCGUGAGGGAUGACGGCC
rnacentral:rRNA from 1 species